GUUUUCCUGGCUCUCCUUGCAGGUCGACUAGACGUUGGGCUCCCUGUUUCAGGCCAGUGACGACAUGAGGAGGAGUUAAUGCCUCUCCAUCUCCUGCCAAACCGAGGCUGCCUGUCUUCUUCAUGGAAGGAAGCAGAGUGCACGUCACACGCAGGAGAGCUCUAGCGGGGCCACAGCGUUUCCGAGUGGAGGUAGGCCUUGGAGGCGACCUCCGCAGGUCCUUUGUUUUAUAGAAGAGCCCAGGAGGAUGGGCAGAGCGGGGCAACAGGCUUAAGUUUUCAUAUUAAAAAGGAAGAUGGCAACAACUUUCUGCUCUGGAAAGAAAAAGAAAGAGGACAACGUGUGUGAAAGUAAUUUGGAAAUGUAAACGUGCAACGUAGUGUUAUCGUUGGAGGAGCGUGCGGCUCACUUUUGUUGAGGAGGUCGAGGGGGCAGGAGGGACGGGGGGAAUUUUAUGUGUCGACUUAGGAGAACAAGAUAGAGGAUCACAUGCUGGGUUUCAAAAGGAGAAAUGGUCUUAAAUAAAACUGUGUG